CACCUUCCCACUCAUCACAGGGAGCAGCACAAUACGGCCAGUGUGGGCCACACACUCGUAGCCACAGGAUCAAGCACCUCAGUUGCCAGGUGCCUUGCCUCUGCACACAGGAGCCAAGGAUAAUAGCCACAAGGGCUGCACAAACCACGACGUAUCCCAGAACACGAAUGACCCAACCCAGG